UAUAAGUAAAAUUGACUAAAAGGUAAAGAAAAGAAUUAACGAUGGAAGAAAAAUAUAAUUUAGUCAACGAAUAUUCCAAAAGAAAUGUUUCUAUUCAAAUAUUAUUACAAAAAUAUGGUGCUGGAAAGCAAAAAUUUAUGAUUUAUUGAAAGAUAAAGACAAAAUGUUAAAAUAUUGCCCUGAAAAUGAUGAAAUUGCUACAACAAAGGCAUUCCGCAAUGAUUCCUCAUAACAGAAUGGCAUCCAUUCGGAGAUUCAGGGCACAGCAGACUUCUGCAUUUCAAACUCUCAAACAAUGAAGUCAAAAUCAAUUAAUUAACAAUAAAUUACAGAUCGGUUCACUGAUUCUGUCAGUGAAUAAUUUAUGGUUCAUACUGA